AUAUCAAAACUUACUUUGUCAAGGAAUAUUUCUUUGUAUGGAUUAGAGUUAGAUGAAUCGUCAACCGUUUCAUAAGCUGUAUAAAAUCUCUCUCCUUGAGGUCUAAAAACGUUUCAAGGUCAUCGAUUCCUUCAGCAACUGGAAUAAAUGGAAAAGGCUGGUUAUUUUUAGGUCGUAUUUUGUGUGAAAUGUAAUGUACUUAUAAUACUAAUAAUCUUGAUUAAAAAAUCGUCGCGAUAUGAACUUCUUAUCAUUGUUCUCUGCUGUCCAUAAGGAAAAUGUAAAAUUCAUCGUAACCGACGGUAUUACAGGUUUGAAGCAAAAGGCAGACUGUGUUAUCAAAUUGCACCAGUUCUUGUAUUAUACCGUAAGAUGGAAAAAACAUAUUGUGAUGAGUUUUCAGGGCUACAAUCAGAUUUUUUCGAAAUUCUAUUCCAUUCAAAGUAACAGAUUUCGGACAACUUACAACUGCAAUAUGUUGUGGUAAGAAUACAUGGCUUUGUGUAUGUUCUUUAAGCUUCACUGGUCCCGAUGAGAAAGUGAGUUUAUCGCGGAAAGGAUUAUCGAUCACAUCUACCACCAUUCUAAAGCAUUGCCGCUCUCCUAUGCUUUUGCAGAUGUUUUUGAAAUUCCGACAAGUAGCUGCCUGCCCUUUUAGAGGUUUAUUUUUUUGUUCAAAUGUUAAACAAUUAUACUGCUUCAUGCUUCCACUUUUUCGUAUACAUUCAACAUAAUGCAAUAGAUGAUGACUUUUGUUAAUGCGUUUUUCAAAGUUUUUGUAGAAUACAUCGUUAUAAAUACGUAUAUGUUCAUCUAACCAUAUUAACAUGUCUUCGGAUACUGUUGGAGAUAACAAAAUUCUGCUAAUAUUAAUUCAAUGGCCGAUCAUUUGCAUUAGUUCACAUUCCGAUGAAACUUUAUGGCCAAAUAAAAAAGG